GUUUUAAUAAUUUAAAUAAAAUAAUGAUUUUGUAAAUCAAUAAUAGGUAAUAACCCUUUAAAACA
rnacentral:tRNA from 1 species